CAAUCAGCGUACAAAAUCCAUUGAUCUCUGUACUGAAUAUACUCAACAAAUGAGCAUGCAGAACUCUGUAAGAUAAGGAAUUCGAAAGCUUCAUAAUUCUUUGAAUAUGGACAAAAUGUUCUGCUACCAAUACACAGGCCUGUCCCUUUAAGGCUACAAAACUUCAGUUGAAAAGGACCAGGGACUGAAUUAUCGUAUGAAUUUUCAGUGUGAGCUGACUGGAGAGAUUUUCACCAGUGUCUACUGGUAAAGCCGUUGGUGUUUGGCUGACAACUACAAUCAAGGCUAAAGUAAUUUAAUGUUGGGAUAGAGUUGGAGUUGUUGAGGAGAAACAAUGGCUUUGAAGAAAGGUCUUCAGAUGUGGUUUGGUGAUUCACCCAUGUGCUCGAGAAGCCCUUUGAUUCCCAGGCAUGGACCGGGACUCGCAGACGUGACACAGUACGAUCAGUGGCUGACUGUGCGGCAUGAGGCCAGCUUAGUGCCAAUGCAGGAAGACCUGUCGAUCUGGUUAAGUGGAAUGCUUG